UUCCCGGUGUAGCGGUGAAAUGCGUAGAUAUCGGGAAGAACACCAGUGGCGAAGGCGCUCUGCUGGGCCAUCACUGACGCUCAUGGACGAAAGCCAGGGGAGCGAAAGGGAUUAGAUACCCCUGUAGUCCUGGCCGUAAACGAUGAACACUAGGUGUCGGGGGAAUCGACCCCCUCGGUGUCGUAGCCAACGCGUUAAGUGUUCCGCCUGGGGAGUACGCACGCAAGUGUGAAACUCAAAGGAAUUGACGGGGGCCCGCACAAGCGGUGGAGUAUGUGGUUUAAUUCGAUGCAACGCGAAGAACCUUACCAGGGUUUGACAUCCUGCGAAUCUCUUGGAAACGAGAGAGUGCCUUCGGGAGCGCAGUGACAGGUGGUGCAUGGCUGUCGUCAGCUCGUGUCGUGAGAUGUUGGGUUAAGUCCCGCAACGAGCGCAACCCACGUCUUUAGUUGCCAGCAUUUAGUUGGGCACUCUAGAGAGACCGCCGGUGAUAAACCGGAGGAAGGUGUGGAUGACGUCAAGUCAUCAUGCCCCUUACAUCCUGGGCUACACACGUACUACAAUGCUACGGACAAAGGGCAGCAAGUUCGCGAGGACAAGCAAAUCCCAUAAACCGUGGCUCAGUUCAGAUCGUAGGCUGCAACUCGCCUACGUGAAGGAGGAAUCGCUAGUAAUCGCAGGUCAGCAUACCGCGGUGAAUACGUUCCCGGGCCUUGUACACACCGCCCGUCACACCAUGGAAGUUGGCCACGCCCGAAGCCGUUACUCCAACCCUUGUGGAGGAGGACGUCGAGGGUGGGGCUGAUGACUGGGGUGAAGUCGUAACAAGGUAACC
rnacentral:rRNA from 1 species